rnacentral:misc_RNA from 1 species
CCUCCAAACCCAUGUAUGAUGCUGCACCGCAAUCCUUUCCUCCAAACCCUCCCUGCCACAUAAUAACCAAGCCUUCAUCUUCUCCUUCCGCUCCAAACCUUCUUUUUUUCAUUCCCAUUCCCACUUUUUCUAUUUCUUCAAAUUUUCUCUCUUCCAUCUUCUUCUUCUCAAUCGUCAUGUUGCCACGUGGUUCGAAUCUCCACCGAGACCUUGGAAGUCUCGCCGCCGCCUCCGCCU